rnacentral:sRNA from 1 species
GGCAUAAGCCACCAUGACCAGCCUUAAAAAGUAAUUUUAAAAUAUCACUGGUAAAAUGUGGAUUCAGUCAUGAUUGAGUGCAGUUUACCGUGUGUGGACAUUUAUUUAUUUUAAAAUUGUCUGAUCACCACCUUGAGUAAAACACAAGCAGUCACAAUUAAAAUAUAUUAGUGAGCAGGAGAAAGCACAGCAUAUUAUAGCACUGAAUGAUUUAUAAACCUAUUCCAGGGUCAUAAAAUGUGUCAACGCCUUUUCUAUAGUAAGGAGACUAGGUUCAGAUGGUUAAUCUAAGACAAAUAAAUGAGAUAAGCCAUACACUUUUACAUCCUCCAUGUCCUGUCUUUUCUCUGUUCAAAAUAGGAUGUUGACAAUGCGUCUCUGGCACGUCUUGACCUUGAACGCAAAGUGGAAUCUUUGCAAGAAGAGAUUGCCUUUUUGAAGAAACUCCACGAAGAGGAAAUCCAGGAGCUGCAGGCUCAGAUUCAGGAACAGCAUGUCCAAAUCGAUGUGGAUGUUUCCAAGCCUGACCUCACGGCUGCCCUGCGUGAUGUACGUCAGCAAUAUGAAAGUGUGGCUGCCAAGAACCUGCAGGAGGCAGAAGAAUGGUACAAAUCCAAGUUUGCUGACCUCUCUGAGGCUGCCAACCGGAACAAUGACGCCCUGCGCCAGGCAAAGCAGGAGUCCACUGAGUACCGGAGACAGGUGCAGUCCCUCACCUGUGAAGUGGAUGCCCUUAAAGGAACUGUGAGUACCAACCCUGCAGUAAAAGAGGGAAAAUAAUGACCCAUUCUGCUGACUAAGCUCAUGAUGAUACCUGAACAAAAUGUUGAGUGAGUAAAAAUGUAUAUCAUAAUGCAAAGAAAAUGAGUUAUCAAGACAGACUCAAAAGGGACUUCAUGGAACUCUUGAAGGUUUUAGCUUGCCUAUAUCAUUGCUUCUAAUGUGAAGGACUUGGUACUC